CUACGGGGUGCUGCAGUGGGGAAUAUUGGACAAUGGGGGAAACCCUGAGCCAGCAAUGCCGCGUGUGUGAAGAAGGCCUGCGGGUUGUAAAGCACUUUCGGUUGGGAGGACUGCUUCUAGCACUAAUAUUGUUGGAAGUUGACGUUACCUUCAGAAGAAGCACCGGCUAACUCCGUGCCAGCAGCCGCGGUAAUACGGAGGGUGCAAGCGUUAAUCGGAAUUACUGGGCGUAAAGCGCGCGUAGGCGGCUAGAUCAGUCGGGUGUGAAAGCCCCGGGCUUAACCUGGGAACUGCAUCCGAUACUGUCUAGCUUGAGUACAGGAGAGGAGGGUGGAAUUCCACAUGUAGCGGUGAAAUGCGUAGAUAUGUGGAGGAACACCAAUGGCGAAGGCAGCUCUCUGGCCUGAUACUGACGCAGAGGUGCGAAAGCGUGGGGAGCAAACAGGAUUAGAUACCCCGGUAGUC
rnacentral:rRNA from 1 species